AAGUCAUUCUGGGGCCACACAGAAAAGCAUACACACUUCAGCUUGCACUUAGUUAAUUUCUCUGCUUGAAAGAGCUUUGAUGGGACUCCGAAAACAGGUUCCUAGAGAGCCAAUGGAGAAGGAGACAUCCCUAUAACAUAAGGUAGCUGGCCUGGAGAUCUUGGGUUUAUGCAGAGAAGAUGGAGUUUUGUUUUUUUUUUUUUUUUUUUUUUUUUUUUUUUUCCUGAAACAUUUUCUGAAGUCCCUCCGAUUUUGGCUUUCUUAUUACAAACCCAAAUGCACAGGGCUGGUGAUAGUGGCUUCUCUGACAUCAGAAUCAAAUAGUAAAUACUCUAAAGCCAUUUGGGAAGAUGUGUGUGGCUAGCCAUUCUGAUUCCUGGACUUUUUAUAAAAGAAACCACCAAAUGAGCCUAAGUGCUGCGUACAGCAGGAUAACGAAGAAAGUAAAUAUCAAGUUAUGUUACUGUGUCCAAGGAGUUUGCAAAGAUGAUGAACAUGACUAAUAUGCAUCAAAUCAUGGGCAAGGAAUUUAAGUGAGAGAGGACCAGAAUCUCCUACUUGAGCUGGGCCUUACAGAGAUUCGAGAAUAUAAUUGGGACUGCUACUAUUGAUUGGACCCCACUCCUUACAAGAUUGGGAACUACAACAGAGAUCCAAUGUGCACAGAAUGAGACUUUGGAGCAGUCAGUCCUAAACAGGAUGAUUUCAUCAAAGCCCUCGCAUCAAGGCCACAGGUAUAUAUGAGAAAGAGAAGGCAAAGAGAUUGUAAGAGUCAGAGAGGCUGGAUGACUCUGAGGAAACAUCUGCCAGAUACAGCAGGACUGGAUGUCCAUAUGAACUCACAGAGACUGUGGCAGCAUGCACAAGUCCUGUACAAGUUCAAGUUUAAUGGACUGCAGCACUGAGAAGGGGAAGUAGACAAGGACACCAACCCCUAACCCAGAAGCUCUCUGCAAUUGAUACCCACUGACAUAGAAAAAGUUAGUUUUCUCCAAUAGCGUCUCAUUGAAUAUAUUAACCACACUUCAGGGCAUGCCCCAUGCCCAAGAGUAGUUGACAAACACAAAAUGAACUCAAUAAUGAUUUUGUAGACUUUUUGUUUCAUUUUGCUUUGUUUGUUUUCUUUUUUGUCUUAUUGCUUCUUUAUUUUGAUGUUCAUUGUUGUAUCUUCCUUGUCUUUGUUUUGUUUUGUCUGUCAAGAG
rnacentral:lncRNA from 1 species